rnacentral:rRNA from 1 species
AGAGUUUGAUCCUGGCUCAGGACGAACGCUGGCGGCGCGCCUAACACAUGCAAGUCGAACGAGCGAGAGAGAGCUUGCUUUCUCGAGCGAGUGGCGAACGGGUGAGUAACGCGUGAGGAACCUGCCUCAAAGAGGGGGACAACAGUUGGAAACGACUGCUAAUACCGCAUAAGCCCACGGGUCGGCAUCGACCAGAGGGAAAAGGAGCAAUCCGCUUUGAGAUGGCCUCGCGUCCGAUUAGCUAGUUGGUGAGGUAACGGCCCACCAAGGCGACGAUCGGUAGCCGGACUGAGAGGUUGAACGGCCACAUUGGGACUGAGACACGGCCCAGACUCCUACGGGAGGCAGCAGUGGGGAAUAUUGCACAAUGGGGGAAACCCUGAUGCAGCGACGCCGCGUGGAGGAAGAAGGUCUUCGGAUUGUAAACUCCUGUUGUUGAGGAAGAUAAUGACGGUACUCAACAAGGAAGUGACGGCUAACUACGUGCCAGCAGCCGCGGUAAAACGUAGGUCACAAGCGUUGUCCGGAAUUACUGGGUGUAAAGGGAGCGCAGGCGGGAAGACAAGUUGGAAGUGAAAUCUAUGGGCUCAACCCAUAAACUGCUUUCAAAACUGUUUUUCUUGAGUAGUGCAGAGGUAGGCGGAAUUCCCGGUGUAGCGGUGGAAUGCGUAGAUAUCGGGAGGAACACCAGUGGCGAAGGCGGCCUACUGGGCACCAACUGACGCUGAGGCUCGAAAGUGUGGGUAGCAAACAGGAUUAGAUACCCUGGUAGUCCACACCGUAAACGAUGAUUACUAGGUGUUGGAGGAUUGACCCCUUCAGUGCCGCAGUUAACACAAUAAGUAAUCCACCUGGGGAGUACGACCGCAAGGUUGAAACUCAAAGGAAUUGACGGGGGCCCGCACAAGCAGUGGAGUAUGUGGUUUAAUUCGACGCAACGCGAAGAACCUUACCAAGUCUUGACAUCCCUUGACAGACAUAGAAAUAUGUAUUCUCUUCGGAGCAAGGAGACAGGUGGUGCAUGGUUGUCGUCAGCUCGUGUCGUGAGAUGUUGGGUUAAGUCC